GACAGAGGGUGCAAACGUUGUUCGGAAUUACUGGGCGUAAAGGGCGCGUAGGCGGCCUGCUAAGUCGGAUGUGAAAUCCCUCGGCUCAACCGAGGAACUGCAUCCGAUACUGGCGGGCUUGAAUUCGGGAGAGGGAUGCGGAAUUCCAGGUGUAGCGGUGAAAUGCGUAGAUAUCUGGAGGAACACCGGUGGCGAAGGCGGCAUCCUGGACCGAGAUUGACGCUGAGGCGCGAAAGCCAGGGGAGCAAACGGGG
rnacentral:rRNA from 1 species